AUUAGAAUCUCCCCAUUAAAAAAAUAAAGAGAUCGAGAACUAAACAACUAUCUUAAUUGUGAAGCAAAACUCCAAACCAUGCAUGGUCAAGAUAUUUAUAUAAAAAGAUGCAUCAAAAGCCCUUCUCACUUCCCAUAUCCCACUUCAUCAAAACCAUGAUCGAGGCCAAGAAAAGAUUAAGCAAAUUAAAGGGAUUUUCAUAAUUUCUGUAUCAUCAAGAAUCUUGGAUCCUGGCGGCGCCGGCGCAUAAUAGGUGCACCUCUCUAGUGUGCUCAUGUUAUGUGGCGUCAAGAAACUCCGAUAGCAGAGAAGAGGAGAACGGUGGGGUUGGAACCAGUAUCGACAUUGAUAGUCGAAAACGGGCUUAUAUUAAUGUCGUCGGAGAAGAAAGAAGAAGAAGAAGUAGCAGUAGAGACAGAGGUUUCAUGGAUUCAUCAAAAGGGGUUGAAUUUGAAGCUUAUCCUCUCAAGAGUAAUCUCAAGAAAUCUGCAUCAAUGGUGGAGAGUUUGAGGAAAGUUAGUUGGUCUGAUGCACAUGGCAAAGACAUUGCUCAUGUUCAAGAAUUUGAACCAAGCGAAGAAGGAGAGCUAGCAGGAGUAGGGAAAUCAUGUAAAUGUUCCAUUCAGUGAUGAAGUUUGGUUCACAAAUCACAAGUGCAAAGAUGAGGUGUUGAAGACACUCAUUAAGAGGUUUUUGGUUCGAUUAUCACUUAAGCUUAGGUUGUAGAUCCAUUUUAUGUCUAAUUUGUACUAAUUUGUAAUUUAUUAUUGAACGAAUUAUUUAAAAUUCUUUGUAGUGUGUAUUAUGCAUAAAUUAGACUAGUUUGCUCCAAAUAUUACAUUGAUCAAAUGAAGAACUUUCAGACAUUUCACCAUUA